rnacentral:rRNA from 1 species
GACAGAGGAGCCAAGCGUUGUCCGGACUGACUGGGCGUAAAGCGCCCGCAGGCGGCCGUGCACGUGGGGUGUGAAAGCUCGCGGCUUAACUGCGAGAGGCCAUCCCAUACGGCGCGGCUCGAGCCGUCCAGAGGCCGGUGGAAUUGCCGGUGUAGUGGUGAAAUUCGUAGAUAUUCGCAAGAACACCAGUGGCGAAGGCGGCUCACUGGCCCGGUACUGACGCUGAGGUGCGAAAGCGUGGGGAGCAAACAGG